UACGAAGGGGGCUAGCGUUGUUCGGAAUUACUGGGCGUAAAGGGCUCGUAGGCGGCCAACUAAGUCGGAUGUGAAAUCCCCAGGCUCAACCUGGGAACUGCAUCCGAUACUGGAUGGCUUGAAUCCGGGAGAGGGAUGCAGAAUUCCAGGUGUAGCGGUGAAAUGCGUAGAUAUCUGGAGGAAUACCGGUGGCGAAGGCGGCAUCCUGGACCGGCAUUGACGCUGAGGAGCGAAAGCCAGGGGAGCAAACGGG
rnacentral:rRNA from 1 species